rnacentral:rRNA from 1 species
GACGAACGCUGGCGGCGUGCUUAACACAUGCAAGUCGAACGGUAAGGCCCUUCGGGGUACACGAGUGGCGAACGGGUGAGUAACACGUGGGUGAUCUGCCCUGCACUUCGGGAUAAGCCUGGGAAACUGGGUCUAAUACCGGAUAGGACCACUGCCUGCAUGGGUGGUGGUGGAAAGCUUUUGCGGUGGGGGAUGGGCCCGCGGCCUAUCAGCUGGUUGGUGGGGUGAUGGCCUACCAAGGCGACGACGGGUAGCCGGCCUGAGAGGGUGACCGGCCACACUGGGAAUGAGAGACGGCCCAGACUCCUACGGGAGGCAGCAGUGGGGAAUAUUGCACAAUGGGCGCAAGCCUGAUGCAGCGACGCCGCGUGAGGGAUGACGGCCUUCGGGUUGUAAACCUCUUUCAGCACCGACGAAGCGCAAGUGACGGUAGGUGCAGAAGAAGGACCGGCCAACUACGUGCCAGCCGCCGCCGUAA